CAACUUUCAACAACGGAUCUCUUGGCUCUCGCAUCGAUGAAGAACGUAGCGAAAUGCGAUAUGUAAUGUGAAUUGCAGAAUUCAGUGAAUCAUCGAAUCUUUGAACGCACCUUGCGCCCCUUGGCAUUCCGAGGGGCACACCCGUUUGAGUGUCGUG
rnacentral:rRNA from 1 species